rnacentral:rRNA from 1 species
GACGAACGCUGGCGGCGUGCUUAACACAUGCAAGUCGAACGGAAAGGCCCUGCUUUUGUGGGGUGCUCGAGUGGCGAACGGGUGAGUAACACGUGAGUAACCUGCCCUUGACUUUGGGAUAACUUCAGGAAACUGGGGCUAAUACCGGAUAGGAGCUCCUGCUGCAUGGUGGGGGUUGGAAAGUUUCGGCGGUUGGGGAUGGACUCGCGGCUUAUCAGCUUGUUGGUGGGGUAGUGGCUUACCAAGGCUUUGACGGGUAGCCGGCCUGAGAGGGUGACCGGCCACAUUGGGACUGAGAUACGGCACAGACUCCUACGGGAGGCAGAAGUGGAGAAUAUUGCACAAUGGGCGGAAGCCUGAUGCAGCAACGCCGCGUGCGGGAUGACGGCCUUCGGGUUGUAAACCGCUUUCGCCUGUGACGAAGCGUGAGUGACGGUAAUGGGUAAAGAAGCACCGGCUAACUACGUG